rnacentral:lncRNA from 1 species
AGGAGGCAGAAAUCAAGUCAUUCAAAGAGAAUAAUCACCCAACAAAUGUACAAUAAUAGGUUGGAGAAACGGUUUUUGAGUUCGCCACCACCGGCACUGGCAGCAGUGGCAGUGACAGCAGCAGCACUGCCAGUAUGGCAUUUCUUAUUUUUCAGAGUGAUGGCAGGUUACCAUUGCUAAUACUGCAAUUCAGUCAGCAGUCCAGCUCUGCUCCACUAUUUCGCGCACUCUUCGGUUGUAUUCCCGCUUAUUCUCACUAAACAUACGAGCUGCUUCUGAGUUUGCUGGAGAGUUCGGGUUCGGAUCACAAAGAAGAGACUGGCAAAAGCACAAACAAUGUCAUUUUCAUGUUUAAUCUACCUUAAUGGAGAAGCUCAGAUUCACACUUCCUCAAUACUUUUAAGCGAAGUAAACCAUGUCAAUCAAACUGUGUAACGAUGGUUAAAAAGAAAAACCAUUUAUACACAGUCCCGGAACAAUAGUAAACAAGAAAAACCAUGUACAAACAGUCCCAAACUCUCAUUUUUUCUAAAAUACCCAUAUCUGUUAUAUUUGGACAUAGGUAGAGUAUGAUCCUUCAAAUAAUUGAAAAAAAGCAUACCCAUACUAGAUGCAUACUCAUAUUUAUAACUGACAUUCGCCCCCAAAUCAAAGUAACAUGAUCAGAGAACACUACCAGUAAUAUAAUCUCAGACCAUGAUUCAAGAAAACAAUAACAAAAUAAAACGGUUAACCGUAUUUAUGUUCCAGUUUAAACAUAAACAUCGAACACAGACACAGACGCAUAGCAAUAGCUGAACGACAUUAAUAUUGAUAACCAAAAAAAUUUCGAUUAACCAUUCUAGACUGGACAAAUAUGUCAAUGAAAAGUAUGGUUAUUGCAUCAAUGAAAAUUUUUCAAUUAUGUAGCAGGAAGCAGAUGCACGGGGAAAAAAUCUCUUGUAAAGAAAUAUAUGUAUAACUCAUAAAGUUCCGAAAUUUGACGAAGUUAGGGGCAGCCAUUGGUGAGAAACAAAUUUUUUCAGAAAGAAAAAUUUAAAAAAAAAAAAGAAAGUAAAAAGCCAUAGAAUGCUGCACCUGAAUCGAAGUGAGUAUAGCGGCAACAUCAUAUAUAGGACUCCACUGAUUUUGUAAAAUAUCGAGACAAAUACUCCCAUCUGCAUAGACUGAUCGAACAAUGACAGAUCAUUAGACAGAAAACGAAACAAAAACAAUUUGCAUAUAAUCCCACAGAUAAAACCAAUGAAAACAAUCAAGUACAUACUAUUUGGAUGAAACAUCCGUGAGACAAACCGAACGGUUGGAGGCUUAUUUGGAUAAUCCUCCAUGAACUGCAAAGUCAGCUUGAACGUACCUGAGAAAUCUCAAUAAAAACGUUGUGUUACAUAAGAUAUACAAAUAAGAUACCAGUAAUUAACAUGCCAUAAAGUCAGUUAUAAGUUACAAUAUAAUUUUAUGUUUUAAAUUCUCCAUUUUAUAUUCAAUUCCCACCAAAGCUCAUUAAUAGAAAACAAACGAGAAGCACACAAAAAAGGAUAAAACUCUAGAGCCAUAAACUGAAAACAGUUCAUCGACUAUAAAACAGAUUGCGCAAGAUUUCGGCCAUGACUCACCUUCAUUGACUCGAGAAACCAUGCGUGUUCGAAUGAUGUAUUAAUACAGUUUCAUUCAAAAAUUUCAAGGCAAAAUGACUAAAAAAUCAGUAAGAACUUGUUGAGGGAUUCCCGACUCGGCGAAGUGUCGUCCGCCCAGAACCGGCGGAGACCUCAACAAAACUAAAACAGCAAAUAGCACAAAUUUAAUCAUUUUUCACCUAAAAUCCAUAAAAACUAACACAAUUAACAGCUCAAAUUUCACAAACUACAACAAAAUACCAUAACAAAACAUCAACAGCAUAACAAAUAACACAAAGUUCAUAAAAUUCAACAACAAAAGAAUAAAAUUUUACCGCCAUCCCAAGGAGUAUCAUCAGGCCUGCAAAAAUAAACCCAAAAAUUCAGGAAAAAAAGACCUAAAAUGGAAACCAAAGCAAAUAAAAGAGAAAAAGGAGAAAUACCCAAAAAUGACAGCGUUCCAAAACAUGAUAUUAUUAUCUUGAGGAGCCCCACUAAUACCAGCAGGUGGAUCUUGCUGUAGUCUCUUGAAGUCUCUCAUCAGCCUCUUCCUUGCUGGGGUUGACAUUGCCCUUUCCUUUGUUUUUCCCUAAGACCAACCGAAUCUAAUCCAAAAUAUAUAAAAUUGAAAAUGGAAUCGAAAACCAAUUUUUCUUUAAAGAGAAAAGGAGAUCAAAGGGAAAUCUAUCAAGUAUCCAUCUCUAAGAUUUUGGGUGCUUCACAAAAGGGAGGUCAAGCUGAUCCUUCUUUUUUAUUUUGUUUUUUUCUCUUUUUUAUUAUUAAUAAUUUGUUUCAGAGAAUUAAAAGAAAAAUAUGGGCGGUGUAUGGUCAUUACGUGACUGCAUGGACAGAUGGUAUUGCGCCACGUCAUUGUAUUCGAAUAUCUAUUUUUCUUAUUUUUAAAACAAAAAUAUGGGCGAAUAGAAUAGUUUUUAUAUCAUGUCUAAAUUAUCUCCACUAUAUGUUUAAAUAUGUUUAAACUCAUGUAAUUAGAUUGGAGUAGAUCGGAUCAUUCGUAUUAAAUCCUUUAGAUUGUGAAGAUUAGAUCGGGAAGUAUUAAAGAUUUGUAUAAAUUUAUAUAAUAAACAUUAUAAAUAUGAGUUGAGCAUUUGAAAGCAUUUAUUCAUUCAGAACGUAAUUGUAAAUGAACAUUUAAAUUUAUAGUCUUUUCUUAAAUCAUAAAUAAGGAUUGACAACAAUAUUCAUCUUAAUCGAAUUAAGGCAAAUUGAAUAAUGAAUUAUCAAACUCUUCAAAAGUGGGACCAAAACUUCCAAACUGCCAAAGCAACAGAGGCAAAGCCAAAAUUGACAUUUACUUCUUUUCAUGUAUAUUUGCUUCAGUCAUUGUUCCUUCUUUUAACCUAACAAAUGGUGUAUAUUUCUUUCGUUACAAUCAAAUCAAUGUUACAUUUACUUAUAUUUUCACAUGAAUCAUAUAUAUAUUCAUAUAUUUAUGUCCUAUCAUAUAAUUCGGGUUUAGCUUGUUUGUGACAUCAAAACUAAAAAAACACAUCAAAUAUCAUUCAUAUCCGACACUAAAUCCGAAUAACAUAAGAAAAUACCAGUCAAUUAAAAGAUAAAUCAGUAAAUUAAUUGGUUACUACUAUACAGUAAGGCAUGCUAUCUAUGCAUCUAAUAGUUACAUAUAUAUGUAUAUAAUUUUUCAAAUUUCAAGUGAUAGAAACAGUAUUAGGUAAGGGGUCCCGAACUACUUGGAUGAACCUUAAAGACAUGGAAGUGAAGUAGAUGAGAAACAGACCACCUCCAAGGACACCAUCAAGCUUCAUGUGUCUCAAUGGUAGAACCAAAAGUGCCCAUAUUAAGGCAGCAAUUAGGAAACCCAGUGUUUCAAGGAGAUGAGUGUCUUUAGGGAUUUCAACAGGUGAAGGGUAUCCAUACCAGGCAGAGCCAAUGAGGGACAUGCCUAAACCAAACAGGGUGUUGAAGAUGGGACCAGCAUAACAGCCUGAUAUGGCUACUUGUGCACCAUGUGGACCCCCAUUCAAUGCCAUCGUCAAGUUGGUUAUUAGAUCACCAAGUGAGUUUCCCCAAGCCAGGACAGUGAGACCGAGGAUGGCUUGAUUGAUUCCGAUUAUGUAGCCGAGCGAAAUCAGUAAGCUGACUAGUUCUUGAGCUAUGAUGUAACUCCAAACCACACUCAUGAAGAACCCUCCAGCUAACCACGGGAGCAAACAGUUCUUCGGCGGGCUUGAUUUUUCAGUUUUCAAAUAUGCAAGGACCCCAAAGACGGUUCCGGCAAAGACCCCGGUUCCAUAAACCAAGCCUGAAUUGAAGGUGAGACUGAGAUUAACAUUGUCAUCUUGAAGAUCCCAAAGUAUAGAUAAGAGAAUUGGUGCCAAUGUGACUGAAACAACUGCAAUUGGCUUAGACCAUCUUUCUUGGCAAGCAAUUGGUAUUGUCAAUCUCCUAGGUAAAUAAAGAGGCAUCUCAAGGAUCCAAAGCAACAAUUUACAAGAACUUGAUGUUCUUAAACAAACUCCUUUCUCAUGAUCAUCUUUCACAUUCCCUUCCUCGACAUAACCGAGCUCUACUUUCUCGAUUCUGUUCAAAAUUGGUACAUUCAAACUCGAAUCGGAAUCCGUUUUGUCCAUAUCACCAGAGUUCCAAACAACAUACAUGACAUAAACAAGGGUAACAUAAACCAUAUACAUAGAAGCAAAUGCAAUUGCUCCCCAAAGACUGAUUUUCCCAUAAGCCAACAUCAAAAUCAAGGUUGCAAUAACCAUGAGAAGGUAACAAACAUCUCUUACAAAAGCUGGUUUGUUAACUUGGACAUGUUUAUGGUGAACCAAAGUACUUAUGGUUCCAACCACAACACAUGUUACAAAAAAAGCACCACCCAGAGCUGUGUUUAAGCCAAUAUCUUGAGUUCCACUAUCCGUGAAAGAAACUAUGCUAGAAAACACAUCAGGGGCACCAUUGCCUAAUGACAAGAGUGUAACACCAGCAAGUGUAGGAGACAAUUUCAACAAGCUUGACAAGCUUUCAAGGGAAUAACAGAAGUACUCAGAAGCUGUGUUUCCCAAAAGAUAGAACAACACAAGGAGCCAAAGGAUCAAAAGACAAUGACCUAAAAGGGGACAUGUUCCAAAAUUGCAAUAAAAAAAGUAAAGAUAAUCAAUAUAGCCUUGAGAGACACAUGGAUUGUUGAGUUUAAGGGAAGAACAUUUGGCUUUGUAAUCAUCUAAAUUCUCUAAGGUCUUACAAUCUUGUUGACUAUUGCUGCUGGUUAAAACAACAAGAAGUCUUGAAGAGCUAAAACAUAUAAUCAAGAACACACAAGCUACUAAGAGAAAUGAAAUGUUCAAGAAAAUUGUGUACCUUUUGCUUUUGUUCCCAGAUUUUGAAAUCCAAGUUCCCAUUAAAGAAAACCAAAAACUUUCUUACAGGCACAAAAAGGAUUGUACUAAAUCAUGAUUAUGAAAACUUGGAAAGUCUGGAACUUUGUUUCCCUGUUAGAUGAAGUUGGAAGAGAAAAACAAACCCAAUAUAGGAACGAACCUUAAUUUGGGGUUAAAGCAGUUUUCCCAGGAAAGUUUGCUGGUUUUCUGUUGGCUCAGGAAAAAGAAACAAAUAGCUUGGACUUUGGAGGGUUCUAGUCCACAACAGAGUGGAGAAAACUUAUUAAUAUGCUUUUUCUUCAAAAAAUAAAUUUAUUAAUAUGCUUAUAGCAGCCGACUUGGCUAAAGAAAUAUUCGUAAGGAUUAAGUAAACAAAGCACAUUUCGCCUCAUUGGGACACCAGUACCAAACAUUAAAAACAGAAGGAAACGAAUUACCAAUUUUCUUUUAUUAUUGUUGGUGAAGAUUAGAAAGGAAGAAAAUAAAAGGAAAAGACAAGAAAAAGGGAAAAAAGGAAGAGAGAGAAUGGUAAUUAAACUCGAUCUAAAUGAAUGGCUGAAAAGAAGCUACUUUCACUUUAUCUAAUUGCCGGUGUGUCUAAUUUUUACUUUAUGUAUUAUAUUUGUAUAUGUUUUUAGGAAAACUGUCUGUGUUUAACGGAUUUAGGAUGCGAUAAGAGUUUUAUAAAGUAUAAUAAAAAAAUUAAUUAUAUAAAUAAAUGUGAUAUUUGUUAUUUGCAUGUUUUAUUAAAUAAUUAUCAUAUUUUUAUAAUUUGUUUUAUAUAAUCUUUGCGGAUGGUUUUAUUAUAGUUGUGUUAUUAGUAUAUUAUUUCUUAAAAUUAUUGAUUGAUUUCCGCGCCAAUUUAAUUAAAAAUUAUAUAUUUUAUAAAAUAAAUUAUAUUAGUAUAAUGUUAUUCUUUUAUAUUUUUAUUAGAAAACAAAAAAUAAAAACUUUUUUCAUCUAUUUUUUUAAAAUUACUCACGUAAUAGAUGCACCAUAAUCUUAAUCUGAUGAUCAUUAUAGUUUUGAUUAUUACGAAAUUCAAAAGCAAUGUGAAAAAUAUGUGAGAGAGAUGGAAGGUGGGGCUGCUGUUUCCUUUUAUGUAUUUAAUUUUGUACCAAAUUCAUUUCCUCUUGAAAUGGACCCAUACACGUGAAUUUGACAACUGACGCAUCGUGUUUAUUUACUAUGAAUAUAAAAUUAACGAUAUGGUAAUAAUAUGGUAAAAAUAACCAUACCCGUAGUAAAUGAUUAAAUUGUAUUUUAAUUUUUAAAAAUUAAAAAAUUUUAAUUUAAUUUUUUAAAACUUAUAAAAAAUAUAAAAUAAUACAAUGAUAAAUUUAUAUUUUAUUUUACAUAAAAAUACACAACUAAUUAAUUUCGACUCCCAAAAAUAUUAUUAAUUUCGCCCAUGAUAUCAACUCUCAACCCUUCCCAAUCGAUAAAAUUCAACACAUGAACUAAUCUAUUUUUAUAAUAAAUAACCCGUUACACAAUGAAACUAAAAAUUAAGAUUGAAUUUCUUACAUUUUACACUACUGUAGAUGAUUAAGCAUGUUAUCCUUUUAUGAUAUCUUAUUCAAGUUGGUUAAGAAAAAUACAUUUGAGCAGACUGACACCCAAAACACAAGUUUUUUUUUUGACAAAUUGGUACAAAGAAAAAAUUAUAAUUAGCUAUGAAGAUGACUGGCAUAUCAGCAAUGGUACUAGGAUAAGCGCAAGUGUCAGCUUUUUUGUGGAACAACGAAGAAGCCAAGAAUCAAUGAGUCCAUGCCAUAAUUUUGAUUUUUUAUAAUUACAUUUAAAGUAUUAAUAUAAACUUGUAAUUUUGAUUUCAACCAACACAUAUUUUAUAUAUAUAAAAAACCCUAAAAGAAGAAAAAAUCACAAGCAAAUGAGGCUUCGACUUUUCAUUAAACGAGUAAAUAAGCGAGAGUAUAAUAUAGAAAAAAUAAACCUAAAUGUACAUUAUCCAAAACUCCGAAUAUAAAAUUCAAAAUUCCAAAGAGCAAACCUUAUAAUGCACCCACAAAAGUGGUAUAAAAAUAUUCCUCAUAAUUACUACGAAACUCUCACUAAAAUUUAAAUGUGACCGCAUUUUGUCGCCCAGAAAAAUAGAAUUCUAAUCAUACUAAAAUAAUCAAAAUUUAAUUGAAAAAGAUAACAGAGUUUAAUCGGGAGAAGAAUACCAGACAUACCCACAACUUUUUUUAAAUAAUAUAUAUUAUAUAUAAAUAUGAACAUAAUCAUAUUUAUAAAUAUUUACACGUUGUAUUGAUAUAUAAGAAAUUGAUGUAUGAAAUUCUUGUUUAUCCUAAAACAAAUGAGAACUUGAAAUUGGGAUAUCACCAUUUCUGUGAAUAGAAUAAUUAAAUAAUAUAGCCAAAGGUGAUGGGAAAGCUUUUUGUAAAACGACAAAUUGAUUAGCUUUCACAUUGGUUGCUUUUUUGCCGUCCAUACUUACUUAAUUAUUUUCAUUAAUAAUUGUGGUUAAUUUUGACUUAAUAUCACCAUUAGCUAUGAUAUUUAUUUUGAUUUUAGGGGCUUUUUUUGUGUAAUUAAUUAUAGUUGAGAUUUCUAUUAUCUUCUUUAAUAGUCCCUACAGUCAUAUCAAAUGAAUGGAACCAUCCACAUUUUCUUUCCCACCAAAUCAGUCAUUGUUUUUGUAUUAACAAGUCUCCGUACAUCUAAGUGAGAUUCAUAAUUUUUCACACGCUUUAUAUUGACAUAUUGCUAUUAAGCUUUACAGGUCUACCAACUGUGGUACUCUCAACUUUGUAAACCAAGUCCCUCUGAACACAUGCUCUAGAAACACUAACUCUCGAAAGAGCACGAGAGACAAAAUUUCCCAUCGAGGGACCAUACUGUGGGUUGUUGGGGGACCAACCGACUACCCAGUGAAUAAUACUUUGAAGACUUCUUUUGAAGGAGUUGACCCUCAACAAAUUUAAAUACAUGUUUAAUAUUAAAAACUUAUUUUUAACUUAGUUAUAUAUUAAUUUUAAGGUAGAUGUAUUGUUUUUUUAAUAAAUAGAUUAAGUUAUGUGUUUGUUAAUAAUAAAAAUAACUUUAGUAAUAAUAAAAUUUUAAUUUAUUAUAUGAGAGUAGUUUUUAAAAUUAAUGUUACAUUCCUUGUAGAGUGUUUAGGAAACAAAUAUAAGAAUAUAAUUUCUAGGGUUUUAAUUAACAAUUUUGUGCAUCAGAUAAUGUAAUGUUAUUUUUUUAAAUCAUAAAAAAUUUUAAAAAAUUAUUUGUUUGAAAUUUUAGGGAUUUUAUAAAAUUUUAAUUUUAUGAGAUUUUUAAAGAAAUUUAUGGUAUUUUUACUUUAAAUCUCAAAAUUCCUUAUAAAAUAUAAAAAUUUUCAUAAAAAUGCAAAAAAACAAAAAUCCCUAAAAUUUAUAAUAAUAAAAAACAUAAAAUUCUUCACAUACGAAAAUAUGAAAUUCAGACUCAUGAGACAAGCUAAGGUCCUGAAAGAAUCACUAACGAAAUACCGCACCUAGAAACCCAUUUACUCUGCAAUUUAGACAAAAAUGGAAUUGUGAUGCUGGGAUCUUGGGUGGAGACAGGUGAUAUUUUAGUAAGGAAAUUAACAUCUCAGGUGGCGAAAGAAUCAUCAUAUGCUCCAGAAGAUAUAUUAUAGUUAAAUUAUCACUUUGAUACUUGUAUUAUUUUUAAUAAUUUAGUCUUUGUACCUUCAUUUUGUUUAACUCGUUACUUAAUCUAAUUUUUUAUUGAAAAAUUAAAUCAAUCAAUGACAAUUUGUUACAUGUCAAAAAAUAAAAAAUCUUAAAAAUAUUAAAAUUUGGAAAUUUAUAAGAAUGGAAAAAUAAUAAUAAUCUAUUUUUGAAAAUUAUUUUUCAAAAACUAAAAUUAUAAGUAUGUGGAACAUCCUUAAAAUUGUAACCUUCCCAUGGCAUAUAAGCUACUAAUAUGUUUUUGCCCAAAGCAAGCUCGCCACCAACCGUCUGCUAAAAUUUGCCCAUUUUUUAAUGUAUUUACCCCGCCAAACUCAGGCAAUUUGAUGCAUACAAGUAUUUUUGUUGGAACGUGGAUACAUAACUAGCGCGGACAAAAAAAUAUAAAGCUUAAAAAUUACAUAUUAAAAAAGUAAAAAUUAUACUCGAAUUAUUGAAGUGCUGAGAUACUCAAAUAUUUUUUUAAUGUAAAAUUUUUUAUAAAAUUAAUAACGAAAGUAUCCAUUUUAUAAUGCAUAAAAAUUAAAAAUUUGUAAGUGAAAAAAAAAGCCCUAAAAUGGAGGAACUCAAUUAAUUCUUCGAUUUCUUCUUUUAAUGUUCUCAAUUUACUUCAAAGCCCGUUUCUCAAUUCCCAGGUUUUCAUAAAUAAAAUAGAAUCAACCAUGAAAAUUUCGUCUUCAAUAACAUUUCCUAUAAAUUCAACACCAAAAUUACAUGAAUAUAACAAAGUUUUGUAUUGGUCUGCUGUAUCCAAUGGAAGCUACUCCAUCUCCAAAAUCAGCGGCAUUUUCUCAAACGGCUCUGCUUCUCAUGGGGUUAGUUCCAUUUCUUCCUCUUUUUUCAUAUUUUGUAUGUAUAUUCCUAUUCAACUCUAUAGAAAUUUCUUAAUCGACAAAUUAUAGAAUGAAAAAGAAGCUCAUUUUAUUCUAAUUUCAGUCAGUUUGUUGUUUGUUGAAUUAAAUAUGAUAUUUCCUCCUGUAGAAAAUGCUACUAUAUGUUAAUUUAUGUGAAAUUCAUAUCUCCAUUUUUGGGUUUCUUUUGAUUUGCCUGAAAUUCAACUUUGAUGAAUUGUUGAACUUCAAGUUUGUACAUUUAUAUGCAUUAAGCUUUAAAUGUUAAUUGGUGCUCUGUUUCGUAUUUAAUCUUCAGUCACCUUAGAGAACACUUAUUUUGGCAAUUUUAGUAUAACUAGCAGCUAAACUUUACACUUUGGAUCUUGCAUUUAUCAGUUCACUUCUAUUUUUUCAAAUUGGAUUCAAAAGCAAAUAAUGUUUUUAAGCAGUUAAGAAUUUCGAGAAACUCACAAUUUUGGUGAUGUAUUUAAGGUGUAUGUUAGAAUCGGUGCUAGAUUUUACUUUUGAGGACGUUCACUUCGAAAACUUUUGGAAUUUCUGUUUGUGAUGCUAAUACGCCUUGGAAACAAGUCGGUUAACGUUGUGUUUAACUGAAAUGGUAAAUUCUGAUGUACAGGCUGAGUCAAGGGCAGUGGGAGAUGCGUAUGGACGAAGAAGUCGUCUAGAAUCUCUAUUUUGUUAUGAUAAGCCUAUCCCCGAGGAACGAAUUGAAGAACCAGUUGGGGUAUCUUUGGCUGAAAAAAUAGUUGGAGAUAAUCCCCGGUGUAGUGCUUGUCAGGCCAAAGGUGUCAUCCUUUGUACCACUUGUGCUGGUUCUGGAUUAUAUGUGGACUCGAUACUGGAGAGCCAGGGUAUCAUUGUCAAAGUCCGCUGCCUAAGUGUGAAAAUUUUCUCUUCUUUAAUUUGUAAAUAGGUGUCAUGGAUGUUUAUGCAGUCAUGCUCUACAUUUGUUAUGUUUCUAUGUCAUAUUGUUAUAGAAGGCAAACUAUAUUCGAUUCCAAAAGUCUGGUUCUGCGUAACAGAUGGAUAAAAUUCUAACUAGUAUCCUUAAAACAGGUCUGUUCUGUUGAGAAGUCUUGAAGUGAUUAAAGUAAGGUUUUACAUUGAUGCGUCAAACAUCAUUAUAGGGUAUUUUUUGCUGUAAGGCUUGUGCGUCCUUUGCUUUAAACAUUGUGAAAUAGGAACCUGCUUUGCUGCAUUUUGUGUUUUCAUUGCCAAAAUGACCUUCAUUUUAGUUGAUGCACGUGGAUUGACUUGACUACUCUACCCAUAAACAUUAAGGCCCUUGUCAUUUUGUCUAAUCACCACGGACAUUCAUAGCAUUAUAAGGUUUUGUCAUUGCUACUAUAUUUUCUGCCAUUGAGGGCCUCGUAAGUUUUCUUAACUUGAAAGAAUUGUGUGUUCUAAGUUUUUUUUUAUCAGUUUUGGCUGUUAUAUUUACAUGUGGCCAAUAUGAUUUAGUAUAGUAGUAAUAUAUUUGUUACUGUUCAGGUUGUGGAGGAACCGGCAAUGUCAUGUGCUCAGAAUGCAGUGGCCGUGGUCAUCGAGGGCCCAAGUAACUUGUGGUUGGCAGCCUUCUAUAUGUAGCAUUUACACAUUGUAAUUUCAUUUUGUUUCUAGCUGUGUAAUUCUUUUACAUUAAAUUGAUGUAUUUGAGUCCUGCAAUUUCUAAUGGCAUUUGCCUUCAUUUUAAAAUCCCUCUGGUUUGUUGAUUGUUUUGGAACUGUAUUGAAAAUGAUCUUUUUCCGAAGCAAACAAACGAGAAAGAUAUUUUAUUUGAAAUUUAGUUCAUCUUAGAUGAUGAUACAAAUAUACAACAGUAAUGCAUAUAAUUUACAGAGAAGAGGAAUUCUCAAAACCAGACAGGCUCGCCAAAAUUGUAAGUUUUCUCGUAUGUUGGUAGUUUCAGCAGUGUACUUUCUGUAUUUUGAACAAUGAAUUCCUUUGAUUAAUUUCUCAGCUGCUCUUUCUAUGGCUUCCAAUUAACCACUAAACAUUGUAUCUUUGAAGAAGCUCUUGAAUGCGAACUGGGAUCGUUGCAUCGAACUGGAGGCUUUGAGGGUUCUCAGCAUAAGCAACAUAAUAAGCUGAAACACAAGCUUGUUGCGAGGCCAAUGCGACUCGACACUGCAAUACCAAAACAAAUUUGUUUAUAAGUUUCAUGCCAGGUAAUGAUUCUAGCUUUUCAAAAAAUGUUUAAUCUCCUACGAUGAAAUAGCCAAUGAAAAAUGCAUAGAUGGACACUUCUGUAGCAUAGCUCUUAUGAAUGGCGAGCGCCCAUGUUCCUCCUACAAGGGUGCAUAUCGAACCGACUGCAACCCCAGAGAAGAAACAGAACGCCCCAGUGAGGUCAGAAUCAAUCAACGGUAUCAGUUCUGCUGUUUUAAAUGCUCCCCAGGUAUCAGCCGAUGCCUGUAUGAAACCUUUGUUAUAAACCCCGACAUGAACAAGGCCCCAGCGGUUCCCGUAUGUUAUAAGAGUUGAAGCAACUCUAGAGUAACAGUCAGCGCAAGAGAACAAAAACUCGUCUGUGCCCCCCACAACUGAUUUCAUAACUCUGGCCGAGCCCCGAAUGGUUCCAAUAACCGGAACAACUGCUGAGCCUAUGCAUACUCUUCCUACCAAAUGCUGGACCGUGUCUCGGAAAGCAAUCCAAGUAUUCAUAUCAGCUCCACAAGCAAAAUUCAUGUAUCUGACUCGUGAGAUGGUAACGUACAGCAUGUUCUUGAUAACUUGCAUAGUCCAUGUGUAGGUAAGCAGGAUUACUAUGAUGAACAAGAUGUCUAAGCCAGUACCAGUUGCGGUUGCUCCCCCAAUUCCGGUCACCAAGAAAGAUGAGUACACUAGGCAGGUUAUGAUGGAUAGGAUCACAAAUGUAGCAGUUUUAUCAGGAGGAAAGGAUGUGUAAACUGUUAGGAUCUUGGUUGCGUAAUCAAAUCUGGGGUUCACCCAACAAGUAUAGAGGGAUUGGAUCACACUGGAAAUGAUUGCGAUUGUGCUGAUUGCUAAACUUAUGGGACAUCCGAUCAAUAUAUGGAGAAUACCAACCGCACAUGUUAAGAAGGGGCCAACCCAGAAGGCUGUUUUGAUAGCUUUUGAUGGAUCAUGAAAAGAGAUCCAUUCCCAUAGGUAAGAAACAAUUCCGGCAGAAGCCACUGAACCCAGAAGUGGAGGGUACCAUUUCUCGGGGCGGAAAUGGUUGGUACUUCUAGCGGCAUAGACAAAGCCACGGAUGGUUAAGACGAUUACCAAGAUGGAGAUUAAGAUCAACUGAAUGUAGAAAAUGAUUUGGAACAACUUCCUCAUUAAUUGCCCUGCCACCGUUGCGGCUUCUAUCUGCAAGCCAGUUGACAGAUAGUUAUCGAAGAACCCGGGAUUGUCCCUGGUAGUUUACAAGAAAAGAUGUUUUGUUUGGACCAACCGAUGUAACAAGUUGCAAGAAAAUGAGGAAUCAGAAAACAGAAAACAGGCAGCAAGAUUAGAGGUUGGGUGUAAUCAAGCUGAACUCGAGGAGCUUGCAAGCAAAGAUGUCCGGCUUACACCUCUAGUUGAGAAACAAGAAUGAAGAAGUGAUGAAAUUAAGAAGACUAAGAGACAAAAAUAAGGAAGAAAUGGAGUUGGAAAGUGACAUUAUUGACCAAUGCUUGUGAAUGAAAUUAUUUUGUUCUUGAGUCAGUGAGUCUCCUUGUGGAAGUUUUGCAGAUUGAAGUCCACUUCUGAUGGCUACUUCACUCUGGAAAAGUAAUAUUAAUAAAAUAAUCAGGUCUUUGUUAAGUUUUUAGUACUUGGUCUUUGUCUUCCUUGGCACACACGAAUUAUGCCAGCGUUACUGUUUUAGUCACCUAAUUUUAAAAAAUUUCAAUUUAGGCACUAACGUCUGAAUUCAUUCUUGUUUUAGUUACCCGUCAUUAAAUUGAUAACAAAAUUUUUUUUUUAACUUGUAUAAUAAAACAUUUAGUCCUCAAUACUUACAUAUUCUAACAUUUUGAUCCUAAUUCUAAAUAAUUCAAUAAAUUUAACCAUUCACAUGUAUAAAUUCUAUCAAUUUGAUCUUCAAACUUUCUAACUAAAGUUUUUAGCAUUUAAAACAAAAACAUUCCAUACUUAUAAAUUUGUAAAACCCAAAAAAGAAAAAAAGAAAAAACUUCUCUCAACUAACAAACCAUUUUCCGAGCCAAUUCUUGAUACCAAUGAAUUUAUCUUUAAACUUUACUUCCUUUCUCUUUUUUUUUUCAUUAGUUUUCUUCUAAAUAUAAUAUUUUAUAACCCUUUAAUGGAUACAAUUUUGGCUAAACCUUUAAAAAAAUUACUUUAGAUUUACUCUUGUUACCCGUAUGAUAUUUCUUUCAAGGUACAUAGAAAUAGUCCUUUAAGUUGGCCCUUAAAAUUAAAAAUUAAAUCCAGAGUUAAAAGUAUGGCUUUUAAAUAACCAAUUGUUUUGUUACAUUGAUAAUGAUUUUUUUUAAUUUUAUAAACCGAUUAAGAGAUUAUUAUGAGUUCUAUUUAUUUUUAAUUAUUUGUUUUUAAUUUUUAAAUCCACAAUAAGUUAUACAUAUAACUAAUAAUCUGAUUUGGUGUCAAAUCAUUUACUAAAUUAAUUUAAAACUAAAAUUAUGCUAGUCAAGGUGAAAAAAAUAUUUUUUUUACAAAUAUUAAAUUAUUUACAUAAUUUUAUUAUAUAUUAUAUUAUAUUUUUAAAAUUUGUAUUUUCAAUUAUUUUUAAUGGUGUUUAGUUAAUUUCUAGCACUAACUUCUUAAAAAUAUAAACAAAAAGGGUUAUAUACCGAAUUGGAUAAUUUCAACCAUAAAUAAAACAAUUAAUAGAUGUGGAAUGCCCCUGAUUUAAAAGUUGAAAGUUUUGGUUAGGAAAUUAUAGGAUCAAAUUGAUAGAAUUUGUAAAUGUGAAGGGUUAAAUUUAUUGAAUUAUUUAGAAUUAGGAUCAAAUUGAUAGGAUAUGUAAGUAUUAAGAGCUAAAUAUGUUAUUAUACCAGUUAAAAAAGGCCUUUCGUUAUCAAUCUAACGGCGGGUGACCAACAGGAACGAAUUCAAACAUUAGUGCCUAAAUUGAAAACUUUUAAAGUUGAGUGACCAAAAUAAGAAUGCGGGCAUUGUUGGGUGACCAUUUGUAUAGUUUACCCUUUUUUUAAUUACAUUUGAUCAUUAGCCUAAAAAAUUGUAAAUGUAACAGCCCAAAUUUUAGUAGUGUCAGAAUAGUGAUUUGAGAUCACUAAAAUUGAUGAAAAAGUUAGAAAAAUUUAUUAAUUAAUAAUUAUAAGUUAAGUGUGAUUUUAGAAAUAUUUUUUAAAUCAGUGAAUUUUGUGAUUUAAAAGAAAUUAUUAGGUAAAUUGGGUCGAAAACGAGAUAUCGAGACCUCGAUAUUAUAAACUGAGCCGUAAAUAUUUAUAAAAAUAUUUACGGAGUGUCAACAGGAUAAUAUUAAAGUUUCGUUAAGAAAUUUUAACGCUUUGAUAGUUAAUUAUGAAAAAGGACUAAAUUGAAGUAAGGAUAAAAGUUUAAUUAUAGAUUAAAGAAAAGUUAAAGGACCAAAUAGGCAAUUAUGCCUUUUUCUAAAGUUGAGGCGGCAUAACAAAAGAAAAAUCUAAGAUAUUUUUAAUUUAAAAUAUAUAUUAUAUUAUACAUGCGUAAGUAAUAAUUAUGUUUUUAUAUUAUAUUAUUAUUAAUAUAUUAUAUUAUAUUAUAUUAUUAUAUUAUUAUUAUUAUAUAUAUAUGACAAAGAAAGAAAGAAAAGAAACAGAGAGCAAAACAAAACAGAGAAGGGAGAAAGAAAGAAACAGAGAGCAAAACGAAACAGAGAAGGAAGGAAGGAAAGAAAGAAAGAAAAGAAAAGAAAAAGGGAAAUUUGGGGUUUUAAGGUUCAAAGUAAUUUGGUAAGUCAAUUUAAUCCCAUUUUCUCUUAAUUUUGAUAUUUUUUUUGAAAUCCUAGAACAAAAUACUACUUGAUUAAGUUGAAAUUUUGGAAGUUAGUAGAUUAUUAAGCAUGGUUCAUGUUGAAUAAAUUGUUAAAUUAGGGAUGUAUUUGAUAGAAAUUUUGAUUGGAAUUGAAUAAAGGAUUGAAUUGUAAACUAAACUAUAAGUUUUGAAUUUUAGGGAUUAAUUUGAAAUAAAUUCGGAAUUAUGAAAACAUGAUAAAAAUUAAAUAGUUAAAUAUGAGUUUAGCAAGAAAUUGGGUAGAAUAAGGGUAUGAAUUGAGAAAGAAAAAUAUAUAGGUUUAGUUAGGGGUUAAAUUGAUUUAAUUUCAAGUUAGAAGUUAGUAAAGAACGUAAUUGUAAAAUAAAAUAUAAGUUUUGAAUCGAUAGGGAUUAAAUUGAAAGAAUCCCGAAAUUAGGGAUUUAUGGUGAAAUUGAGGAAUUAAAUUGACUUUAUAGUAAGAAUUAAGAGAGAAUAUAGAGUUAGAAUGCAAAAAUAAAAUUAGUAUUGAUAAGGGAUUAAAUUAGAAUUUGAUGUUGCCAUAGAAGGGAAAAAUGUUCAGAAUGUUAUAAAACAUAAGAAUAAGAGAUGAAGUUUAAUUUCCGAGCCUUGGGGCAAAAAUGUAAUUAUGUAAAAGUUUAGGGGCAAAAUUGUAAUUUUGAAAAAGUUAGAGUCGAGGGCUAUUUUGAUGAAUGUGAUUAUUAAAUAAGUUAAAUUUACUAUUUUAGAUCAAGAAGUACGAAACUCGAGGUUAGACAAAGGGAAGAAUAAAGUUGAAGACUAAGUUGGUGAAUUUGGCUAUAAUUGGUACCGAGGUAAGUUUACGGUAAAUAAAUGCAAUAUUUCAAUAUUUAUUAUUAAUGCUGUUAAUUUCCAGCAAUUAUGAAUUUAUUUUAUGAAUUUAUUUGAUGAUGAUCCAAGCAUGAAAUGAUAGAGAAUUAAAAUUUAAAAGUCCCGUUGAUACAUAAGGAUGGUACUGGAUACGAAUGUCAUGACAUUUGGGUAAAGAGAUCCCAUGUAAGACCAUGUCUGGGACAUGGCAUUGGCAUCCUUAAGAUCAUGAGAGGUCCCCUGUAAGACCAUGUCUGGGACAUGGCAUGGGCACCGAGACGAGAGGUCCCAUGUAAGACCAUGUCUGGGACAUGGCGUUGGCACCGAGAUGAGAGGUCCCCUAUAAGACCAUGUCUGGGACAUGGCAUGGGCACCAUCACGAGAACAUCCCAUGUAAGACCAUGUCUGGGACAUGGCUUUGGCAUGUUAUUAUCAGAAGAGACCCGAGUAUCCUUAUUAUUCCAAUGUAGUUCAACGGGCUUGUAAACGAAUCAUGUUCAUGAAAGUUCAGUUUAAAGCAUAAAUGGCAAGCUCAGGUAAGUUGUAAGACUUAAGAACUUAUUAUACUAUCAAUUGAUGUUCAACGAUGCAGCAAGGAUUGAGUAAGUUAUGCACACAAAUAUUCUAAGUAAACAAGUAAGAGAACUAGUAUGAGAUUAACUAAAGAGUAAACUAGAGAUAUAGACAUUGAGUUUAAUUAUUUAAGUUAAAUAUUGCUAUUUAUUUGCUAGUAAACUUACUAAGCUUUAUGCUUACUUCUUUUAUUUCUCUUUCUCUUAUAGUAUUGCAAAGCUACUUCAAGGAUCCUAAAGAAGUCGGAGAUCGUCCACACUAUCAACUACAACUGCUCGGUAUUUUAUAUCGAAACACGUUUAAGUUAUGGCAUGUAUAGGGAUUUAGUUAUUUUGUAUGUUUGUAGUGAUGAUUUUGCUAAUGAGUGAUGUGUAAGUAUUUGAUGAUGUAUGGUUAUUAAAAUGAUUAAGGAUGAAGGUGUUUGUUGUUAUGAAAGAUUAGGUGAUAAAUUAUGCAUGGAAAUCAUGAAAGGAUAAAAUUUUGCAAAGAAACAGAAUUCAGGCAGCACAGUGACGUGAAUUUGAAAAAUCACCCAAGAUAGUAUAAAAUGAAUUAGAGGGUGAAUGAUAUAUGGAAUUAAAGCUUGUUGAGUCUAUUUUCAUGGAAAAAUAACGGUGUAGAAAAAAAGAAAUUUAUAUUUUAAGAUAUGUGAAUUUUAGUAAGAUAGGGUCAGAACUGUUUUUGGAGUCCCCUGUUCUGAGUUUAUAAAAUAAUAAAAAAUGUAAAAAAAUGGUUAUGAGAUUUACAUGCUUAGAUUCCUUAAUGAGUCUAUUUUCUAUAGAAACAAGUAAGAACUUCAUAUGAAAAUCAUAUAGUGAGAAAACUUAUUUUUAGUGACUAGAGGUCAGGGCAGUCUGGUGGUGACACAGGGGUGACUUUAACUAAUAAACUGUACUAAUUUGCUGAACCAAAAAUUUUAAAAAUUUUAUGGUGAGUAGAUAUAUGAGUCUAGUUUCAGGGAAAAUUUACGGGAUUAAAUUUCGAGUUCUGUAGCUCAAGUUAUAAUUAAUUUAGUAACUGCUGCGCGAUUAGACAGAUUUGCUUCGAAUAAUGAAAUAAAUUUUCAAACCUAGUUUUUAUGCUCCGAAUUGGUAAGAUAAGCUAAGUAAUGCCUCGUGCUCGACUCCGGAAACGGUCUCGGGUAAGGGGUGUUACAGUAAAUAUUUUUUAAAGUGUAAACUACAUCAAAUGUCACCCAACUAUUAUCCUUUUCUUUUUUGGUCACUUGACUAACAAAUUUUUUAUUAUACGAUUUCUUAACGUCAGAGAAUGGACCCAAAAAACUAAUCCCAAUUAGUUAGGAGACUAAAUUUAAAAAAAUAAUAGUUGGGUGACUAAACUAAAAAAAAUUGAUAAUUAGGUGACUAAAAAAAGAAAAAGGGACAAUAGUUGAGUGACUUGUGGUGUAGUUUAUUCUUUUUUAAAUUAAAAUGUUGACUAAAGCAUUAGUUUUUUUUAUACUACAAUAGAGGUGGGGAUGAGGUAACAUGGUUCAAACCCGUGUCAAACGGGUCUUUGACAAGAAUUUUAAUUAUCACACCAUGCAAAGUCAAGACUCUAAAAUAUUAGUUUUUUAACGAGGUUGGUGUACUUCAUAUUAACAUGAAUAUAUUUGUCAUGUAUGUCACAUCAAUAAAUAAUUUAAAAUUUAUAAAAUUAUUUUAAAAAAUACAUGUAUAUUGUCAUAUGGGCUAUCAUGUUUAAAAUUUUAACGUUUAGUCAAUAUUUUUGAAUUAUAUUUGAUUCCUUUUAAAUAGUUAAGUGCCAAAUUUUUGCUCCAAAAAACAAGGACCAAUUUAACAAAAAAGGUAAACAUUAAAAAUUAAAUUUAUUAUAGCUAUGUAAACCUAAGAGUAAGGAUUGUAUAAAAUAAGGAUAUUACCCCGCUUUAAUAGUUUAAUGCUACAUCAGCAAUUUCGUCUUGAAUUUUAAAAUUUUCAUUUGAAUUUAAUUUUUUUCUCGAUAAAAAUACUGACGUGACAUUAAACUAUUAGAAAAGGUAUACAGAGGAAGUGUCCUUUCAUGUAAACCUAAUACAAAAAAUUAAAAGGACCAAAAAGAACACAAAUCCAAUAUAAUUAUGGAAUAUACAACCCAAGCUUAUAAAACCAAAAAAACAUAAAUUAAUAAAUAAAAACAUGAGGAUCUUUUCUCUUUUUGCUUUAGUUGAUCUGCGCCAACGGCUUUUUUUCUUUAAUGAAGACAUGUUUUAAAUUACCAAGAUUUGCCCUUUUUAUUAUGAUGUUCCCGUAUAUAAUGGGAUCCAUCCAACGGUCAGCUUGUCCUAUUAAAUAUUCAAAAUCCCCAUUGUCCCACUGCCCAAACAUCAACGGUCACUUUUUCUACUUUAAUGGAAAUUCCGAAAUCAACUUUUUAUUACAUAAAACCAAAAAAAAAAAAAUAUAAACCUACCAACAGCAUGGUAGAAAGUGUAUCGAAAAUACACUUGUCGGUCUGGAUCGACGGUUUGUUUUACAUGAUUUGAUCGGAAAGUGACGGCAGUCGUCGGAAGAAGUUGAGCGGAGCCGAUGGCAUAUCACCUCGAAAUCUCGGGUGUCGGAUGUAGUAGAACCCUGACCCUAACACAAAGACUUUGAAUGGUACCACAUAAAAUAGCAAUGAAGCGAAAAGGCAAACUACCACAAAAAUGCCUGUUGCUCUUGGGUCUUUCCAAUUAAACAAUGCUUCUAAACGUUCCCCUUGGGCUGCUACAUCCCCUAAUAGUGAUUGUGCUCGGCUUGCCAAUGCGCGUAAACGGUCGUAUCGGAACCGUACUGUGUCUGGCGAUCGUGUGGUUGGAAGUCCGUCAAAUUCUUCAUCGAGCUCAUCAGGACCGACAGCGUCAACGUAAGAGAGCCUUAGGUCUACAUUGUGUGUGACUCGCAUGCGGUAACGAAAUCUCAAUGCCAAAAUUAAGAAGGCAUACAUGAAUAUGGUGGAGAGGACUAGUUGUGGGCACAUCACCACCGCUAUAAGCAAAACAUGAACUAAGAUAGUCGUUGGUGGGUGUGCCCACGUGCGAAUCCCAUGUAACCAACGUGCCAAAAUUGCCGCAUGGGACAAACAGCCGACAACUCGAAACCAAUUGGCCUUGCUCUUCCUCAUGCUCCACACGUGUGUAUCCGUAUCCAACAUGAACUGAACUACUUCUUGUCCCAAAGGUGGUUCGGACCGAGCUAGCCUAGCUGUCACUAUGCGCAUAGCCGUUUGGCGAAGUAUGUCCUGCUGGGCUGGACCCAAUGGACGAAGAUAGUGCAUUCUUGGUAACAAUGGGGUGCCAUAGGCUUGGAUUAGACUUAGCCAUGAUGAGCAAGAAAAUCGAACCGCUAUCUCAAUCUCUCCCAUCUUCUUGGCCCCAUUAGGUAACAAUACCGUAAGCAUAUAUGAAUUUAAGUACACUUUAUUUGUGUCAAGCGUAGACAACCGUACACGUAUUUUACCGAUGCGUAGAUCUCUACCGGGCUUCCCUGCUUCAUCUCGCUUGUACCUUCCAUUAUCAAAUACCCCAAUAGUAAGCACUGUACAUGGAUCAUAUACAUCCCAAGUAUAUUGCUCGUUCCAACGUGGAUUAAAGCGAUCAAGUAUCGUACGUGUACGGAUCCAUUUUUGCCCAUACUUAGCCACCACGUAUGCAUCGGUUGUGCCACGUGUACCGUCUUUGGUCUUCACAGGCAACAAGUUACUCGCCCCUCGAAUCCCAACAUCGAGCAACCCAAUCAGAGGCUUAGCUAGCUGCUUAGCAGCGGCUUGGACGUCGCUAGUCACGUGAGCAGCUUCAUCAAGCACAUGAUACCCACCUUCUAAACAUGCCCUCACGUGUAUUCUACCUGCGUACGGUUUAUUUUCAGCACCAACCAAAUUGAACCAUCUUGAUUUCGGUUCAGUUUUAUCAUCGGUUCGCCUCUCAAGGCUCGGCACAUGGAUUUUAGCCUGACCCACUAACUGCCCGUUACUCCAAUCCUCAACCAUAACCACCAAAAACGGCUCAAACGGUUCAGCCGCCACGAAAACCAAAUCCUCAUUCCAAGCUAAACCAACCGGAGUCCUACUGGUUUUAAACAAUUGAGCCCCAAGCUGAGCCUUAACAUAAAGCUCAGGACUCCGAACCUUAGGUUCAGAUCCCGAACCAAGCUGCAAAUCUUGGGUUUGGAUAACCGUUAAUCUCAAAUACCAAAGCUUUGGAGACAAAUAAACCUUAGCUCGGGUCUCGGGUAUUAACCCACCCGAAUCCGACUGCCAAGCUUCUUGAAAAGCUUCAUCAGCCUGAGUCCCGACCCAGACAGAAACCAUGACGUCAUUUCCAGGUGACUUCUCCGAUUCAAGACUAUACCAUUGAGGAGCCAAAGGACUAUCGGGAGGAACCCUUUUGGGCACUUCUUGCAGAUCAAACGACACCGCUCCGAGACAAUUAUCCACCACCACGGUGGCAGCAGUGGCGGCGGCGUCUCCUUCUUUUUGUUCUUCUUUUUUCUCUUCUUCAGCCCAGACUGAAACUUCUAAGGAACUUGAAUUCAAUCCUUCUUUGUCGAAAGCGAAGACUUGGUCCCAAUCUUUGUCGAUUUGGCUUUUGGUUUUGAUACUGUGAGUACCGAUAACCAGUUUUGCAUGAAGGGGACAAGCUGGUUCUUUGUUGGCUCGUUUUGCUUUAACAACUCGGACGUAUAAAAAUGGCAUACGGUCUACGAGGUCGUAUGCGAUACGGUUGUGGUCGCCGGAAAGUGAUCGGAGUUCUAACUCGUUAAUCACAAGCUGACUGCUUUUACCUGUUUCAGCUUUGCUUUUUGUUGCUACUACCUUCGUUGAUGAUGCUUCUUCUUUAUGUGCUAUUGGAGGGUUCUCCACCUCUGGCGGCGGCGGCGGCGGAGUAGCAGCUGCGGUUGUGUCUUCGGACUUACUAGCCUCCGCCGGCGGUGGGUUUGGUUUCUCUUCUUUGGGUGGUUCUUCUUUAGGCUUCUCUUCUUCUUCUUUCUUUUCCUCCACAUUUUCCUCCUUCUUAUCUUCCUCUUCCUUUGGCUUCUCCUCAGCCGUCUCUGCUUUCUGCUCAGCCGCAGGUUCCGCCGGUGCCGGCGGCGCUUCUUCAUCAACAUAAAAAACUUUAACUCCAAUCUCACCUUUAAUCUGAGAAAAAACACUCCUUUUUUCCAACGGAUAAUAAACCAGAGUCUCUUCCCCUGCUUUAACAAAAACACUGCCAGCCAACUUCACUUUACCCAAAAACGUGCUUCGUUUCCCCAUUUUUUUAUCAUUGUACAAAUUAAUCUCCAACAUCUCGGCAGCCAUGGAUUCAAUAUCAUGAACUAAAAACUCCAGCUUUUCAUCCCAAACAGGAUUUAAAUCUCUGAACUUGGUCUUUGUCCUCCUUCUUUGACCAUCAAAAUCAACUAUGGCAUAAGCACUGGCUGUUCCUUGACCAUCUUUUGGCAUCAAGUUCUUGGCAUUGCAGAUUUCGACUAUCAACUUUCUAGUGCAAUUUUCAGCCAUAUUUUUUUUGGUGAAAAAACAGAGCUUUUUUCGAGUAUUAACAGAGAGACGUUGAGUGUUUUUCUUUUGCUUUUUGGUGAAUAAAAAGUGAAGGAAAUGGGGGCGAAGUGAGGGGAUUAAAUAGGGGGGAGACUUUGAAUGAGAGAGAGGGUGGAGAGUGGACACAUCAGCAAUGACUCAGAUGACGCGUGGCAAGAUCUUGGAGGGCGUGAUUGGUUUUGGAUGGUUUGUGGAGACAGGAUCAAAGUCCCCCAGGUGGUGAGUCUGUUGGUAAUAUAUAAAUAUUAUUUUAUUCAUGUGUUUUUAGAGAUAUUUAUGAAUUUUGGGGAUUAAUUUGAAGGAGAGAAGGAAGGAAUCGUAAAAGUCUUAAUAAAUGUAUGGGAACUGGGAAGCCAUUAAGGUAAUUUAUGGUCAUUAUAUAUAAAAAUAUUUUUAAUGAAAACUAUUGGAUAUUUUUUUUUGAAACGAUAUUAAUGAAAAUCAUAUACUAUAUUACAUUUUUUCUGAACAAUUUAUUCUCUUCGAGAGAGGUGAGUUUGUGGACUAGUUUUAACAAAUGGAAAACAUAGAAAAUUUACGUUAAAAGAAAUUAACACAGAGAGAGAAGCAGAAAAAUAAAAGAAAAAAAAUUAAAUUGCUCAAAAUAAAAAAUAUAUAAGGAUUAAUUGUAGAGCAUUCCACGUCAGCUUACCGUCACACUGUUGACGACAAUUAACAAUUUAGUGACUAAAAUGUUACAAUAUGAUAACGUAAGUGACUAAAAUAUAACCUGAGAUAAAUAAAAGUAACUAUUUUAACAAUUUGCCCUAAACUUUUUCUUAAACGAUAUUAAUGAAAAUGAUAUACUAAGAAGAUACUUGUUAAAAAUAUUUAUGCAUUAAUAUAUUAUACACACCGUCAAUUAAUAUUUAAAAUAUAUGGUUGGAAACAUCACUUUCACAAUAUCGACGUAAAAAAGUAAAAAUAUUGCAUGCAUAAAAGUUUUUAUAUAAUACAAUACUAAAAAUCUUAUUACACCUGUAUGAAAACUAUAAAUAUAUGGUUAAAAGAAACAUAUAAUAAAUAAUAAAAUAUAUGGUUUUAAGCUAAUUUAAUAAUAAUAUAUAUAAUAUUAAAAUAAAAAAAUUAAAUUAAAUUGUGAGUAAAUUAAAAUUUAAAUAUAUAAAUACAUCAAGCUAAGAACAUUAAAUUAAUACAAUUGUUUAUCAUAAUGUUAUUAUCAAUCUUGAGUCGGUAUUGAGUUAACUUGUGAGUUGUGGCAUAAUAAAAUUAAAGUGUAUAAAAAUAUUAAAAUAAAGCUUUAUUUGGUUAAUAAAUCUUACCAUAUAUACAUUCUUAUUAUUAUUUUAAAUAAAAAUACUCAAAUAAUAUAAUUUAUUUUAAUCACAGAAGAAUAUUUCCGUAACUUUCUUAAUCGAGUUAGUAUUCGGUUGACUUAUAACACCAACUCAAUUAAGAGCUUAAAUAAUAUAUAUAGAUAUAUAAUAAAUAUUAAAAAAAUCAAAUUCAAUAAAAAAAUACAAAAAUAAUUAAAUCAUACUUUUUUGUGGGUCAAAUAUCGCUUAUUUUUUUUAAACAAUUUUAUUAUAGAUUUUGAUUAUAUCUGUGUUUUUUUUUUACACAAUGUCUAGAACUAUCUAUAACCCUUUAUCAACCAUAAAUAAAAGGAUAAUGCGUUUUAGUGCAUUCGAACCAGUAUCCUUCUGUAUUAACAAUAAUAUCUAUACUAAUUAAAUUAAGAUUCAAUCGGCAAUAUCACUCGACAAAUCAAAAUAAUAAAAUUUGAACCUUAAUACUUUGGAAUCUAAUUAUACUAGCAGGCCAAUAUUGAGAACAAAUUAUACUUAGCCAGUCAUAAAAAUUACAGUGAGGGUGUAAGGUGGUAAAAUAAUAGAUGCAGAACCCAAGAUUUACAUCUGAAAACAAGAAGAAUAUGUAGUAUUAUUAUAUAAAGAGAGAAAAAAAAGAUGAAGAUUCUCAUAAAUUUCAGAACAUGAUUUGGCAUGUAGCUAAGAUAAGCAGGGUGAGAGCGAUGGCAUUAGUUUAAUACUGCAUGUGGGGAAAGCAAAGCAUCAACUGCAACACCCACUCUGCACCAGAAAUGAACGUUGCUUUCGUUAUUUCCUUUGGGAUUUGAUCAUCACUCUCUUUUCUGAUAUAAUAUUAAAGGAAAAAAAAGGGCUCGAAUUUCCAUGAUUUAUAGUAACCACUCGGUGUGAGUUUAAUGCUCACCCCGCCUACUGUGUAAGGAAGUUUCAUGGCGGUGGUAGAUGGCCGCUUGCUUGGUUGAAGGAUGCUGUAUUCUUUGCUCACAUGCAUGCCAUUGCCAUGAGCUUCGGUUAGUUUCCUUCUUGCAAACCCUCUCCUUCCUUCCAUAUUCUUCUUUUCAACUUGUUGAUUAUACAUUUCCAUAUUUGCUUUUCAUUUAUUAUAUAUCGGUUUCAGAUUUAGGUAAUAACAUUCGAAUAAUAUGCUAAUAAUAAUUAUAUUUAUAUUUUUAAGUAGAUUUAUAAAUUUCAAUAAGUAUAUCUGAUGUCAUUUCUAAUUAAGAAUUUAUAUUUGAUUAUCAUAACCUAUUAUCCAUUUUAAUUUAAAUGUUCUUCUUACUAAAUUCAAAUUUUUAAUUUAAUCACAUAUCUCACAAAUAAUUAAUUUAAUUCAAAUUCCCAUUCACGUAGGAACAUUCGGAUUAACAAAAGUCGACACUUGAAGUAAUAGAAAAUAUAUUGAAAAAAAUAUCGAAUUCUUUGAGCAAUCUCAUUAUAUGCUCUUUUUUAGACAAUGUUUAGAACUACCCAUAGUCUCUUCUCAAUCCAUAAAUAGAAGGAUAAUGAAUUUCAAGGCACUUGAAUCACGUCCUCUUGCAUUGAAAAUAAUAUUCAUGCCAAUCAAACUAAAACUCGAUCAAUAAGAAAAUAUCGAAUUCUUAUGAAUGAAUUAUUUUUAUUUAAAGUAAUUUCGAUUUUAGAAAGAAAAAAAACACUUGGUUAGUUAGAUUGUUUUUAGUGUUGGGUAGGUGGGCUUUCUAAGUGAUUUGGGCUUUUGGAUUGAUUUUUAGAUCAUUUUCAUUCAUUUUUAAUGGGCCAAUUAAUAUUAUUCAAAAGCCCAAUUAAUAUUAUUAAAUUGAUCCCAAUUUUUAAAUCCAGGCCUGUUUGAUUAGCCAUUGAAAGCUUAAUAUUUAGUCAUUUAAAUUUUUAAAUACGUUAGGAAUUAAUUGAUAGAUAUUUUUAAUAAAAAAAUUAAGAAUCAUAACUAAUUUAUUUUAAAUUAGGGAUAAAUUUCAAAACUAUACAUAAAACUUUAGUCUAAUGUGUACUUUUAUACAUGAAAUUUUGAUUUGAUCAAAUUCUCAUAAAUUAUUAACACAAUUAUUGAUAUAGCAUCAUGUUUAUAUAUUACAUACACAUGUAAUUAUAUUUAUCCAACAUAAAAAUAAAUUGAUUUAUUUAUUUUUUAAAUGUGAAUGAUUGAACCAAAAUUAAAAUUUCAUGUAUACAUUUGAACCACAAUCAAAAUUUCAUGUGUAUAAUUGCAUCGAAUUAAAAUUUAUAUAUCAAAUUGCACAUUAAAUAAAAAUUAAUGUAUAAUUUUAAUAUUUAUUCCUUUAAAAUUACAUAGAUUUGCUCUCUCGUUUUUCUUUUUGUGAAUCAUUUCUCUUCUUUUUCCAUUAAUUAUUUUCCAAACAUUCAAUUCAGAUUACACAUUGUUUUCGAUAUAAUUAAUACUUAUAUUUUUCCAUAUAUAAUAUUUAUAUUUAAUGAUAAUAAUUUAUUCACAUUAUUUCAAAAGUUAACUUUGUUUAAAAUAACAUAAAAUAUUUGAGAGUGAGGAUAAAAACAUAAAAUAAAAACUUACAUUUAUUAAACGUCUAGACCUGCCCAUGGGCCGGACGGCCCGGCCCGGCCCGACGGCCCGCCCGAAAUAUGGGCUUGGGAAAAAAUGAGGCCCGUUUAAAAAAUGGGCCGGGUUUGGGCUCAACUUUUUUGGCCCGGGCCCGGCCCGAAUAUAAUAAAUAUAUUUUUUAAUUUUUUAAUUUUAAAAUACUUUAAAAAUAUUUUUUUUAUUUAUUUAUUUUUAAAAUAUUUUUUUUGUGUUUAUUAAAAAUCGGGCCGGGCUCGGGCUUGCUCUUUUUUUCCCGGGCCGGGCCCGGGCCUAAGAGUUGGGCCAAAAAUUUUUCCAGGCCCGGCCCGGCCCAUGGACAGCUCUAUAAACGUCAAAUAAUUGCUUGAAAUAUGGAGGAGUGUUGUUUUGGAAAUCAGAUCAUUAAUAGAUUAUACUUUGAUUAUUUUGAUUGUAUUAAUUAUUUUCAAAGAAUUAUCUUGUAUUGACUUAGAUGCUAUUUUGGAGCUUGUAUAAGUGAUGUACAAGAGCUUAUUGAGUGUUAACUAAUCUAUUCAUUGAAGGAACAAUUGUGUGAGAGAGUACAAAGUUUGUAUUGUAAAAAUUAUUGAGAGCGUUUACUGUCUAAGUUUUCAGGGGGAGGAGUUGAAGGUGAGAGUUGUAGUAUUUAGGUAUGAGGGUGAGGUCUCUAUACUUGGAGAGUGAGAGGGUGAGUCACUUGUUGUAUUAGUGACUAAGGAUAGUGGAAUUUUUUACUGAGUUAGACUCUACAGGUAUAGGAAAAUUGAACUACAUAAAUAAAUAAUUUGUGUUAUUUGUUAUUCUAUUUGCACAGUUUUACAGUGAUCUAAUAAAAAAUCAAUAAUCUAACUAAUUUAGUCAUCGAUAAAUGUGAAAAAAUAUAAAUCAAAAAGCAUCCAUAUCAAUAUAUGGUUGCAAUUAUCAAAAUCACAACAGAAUUUAUACAUAAAAAAUAAAUAAAUAAACAAAACCACCAUUUUCUUAUGAAUUUUACGGAUAAGGGAUUGAUAGAAGAAAUUCAAUGGUUUUUCAGUAGUUUAUUAGCUUACCAUUUGAAUUUACUUGUAGAUAUUCCUUUCAAUAAUUAUUUUUGACAUAUAUGAUAUAUUAUCCAUUAAAUAUAAGAAAAAUUCAAGGGCAUGGAAUAUUCCUUUAUCUGUACCCAACUUUACAUAUCUCUUCAUCUUAUUAAUAAAUAUCUGCAGAAAUAUCUAUACCUUCUGCAGGAUUUAAAACUCGAACGAAAUCAAAAUGACAUAAGAGUAGUUAAAUGUAAUAAUAAUAACAAUAAACUAUUUCUAAUUGCUAUGCAUAAUGAAUAUGAGACUUUAUUUGAAGAGUCAGAUGAACAUCAAUUUUUUAAAAUUUAUCAAAAUGGAAAUUAAAUUUUUUUAGUUCUUUUCCUAUAACUUUUUUGUUAUAAUAGUCGCGCUAACGAAAAAUUAGAUAAAGGGAUCAAAUCGAUAAAAAUAUCUCAAAAUUAAAGUGGAAACUUCUAACCUAUUUAAAACUUUUUUUUUUUUUAAUUUCAUGUUGUUUUUCUAUGUAUAUUGAAACAGCCUAACUUUGUCUGAUGUUAUCCAUACGAAAUCAAUCUUUUUUAAAGGGGACGAUAUUCAAUUAUAAAAUUUUAAAAAUAUAUUAAAAGGGUUUAAAUUGAAUUGCUUUUUUUUUUCUGAGGAGCAACAAUUUUCUAUUAAUCAAAGGAUUAGAAAAAAACUGAAACAAACUAAUUAAUUAUUAUUGAGAAUUAUAAUUGCAAAUAUCUGCCUUUCCGAGCUUUGUUCUUGCACGGAAGCAAAGGAAGGAAAGGUUUUUUUUUUUUUUUUUUUUUGUAAUAAUUUCAUUUUAAAUUCUGAUCAUAUUGAUAUAAUAUUUACAAUUAUCUAUAGUCUCUCUCAACCCAUAAAUAAGUGGAUAAUGCGCUUCACACAAUUUUUAGCUUUGUCUCUACCUCGGUAUCCUAUGAAGCAGUAUUUAUUCAGAAAUCGCUAAUCGCUAAUCACAUUUCACUUUUCUUUUAUUUUAUAUCAUCAGAUAUUUAAACUUUUAACAUUCUCAUCCUUUUUCUCAAAGGUAUCACGAUCAUCAAUCAUCAGCAUCGUCAACACAUACAUAUAGUGCUGUUGCUUUCAUAAUAAUGAAUUUCCGACCAAAUUUGAUCAACAUUAAAAUCUUUGUUAAUGAAUUUUAAUUCGAUUGAAAUAGUUAUUAUUGUAAUAAAUUUUUUUGGUGAAAAGAAAAUAAAUUGAAUAAAAAAAUUAACUACACGUAAAAUUUUGAGCAAGACUGUCACUUGCUUUAACAACAUGAGUGAUUGCUAAAAUCUCUCUUGGGAUCUUUUCAAACACCUCCACAUUUUAUCUUGUAUCGAAAGUCAUUUUUACGAUACAAUCAACAAUUUUAUUGAACUCCAUGGAUAUGUGUUGCAUGCCCCAAACUACAAUAUUAACUAAAAGUUGAUGAAUUCUUCUAAUAAAAGUAGAAUUUGAAGCAUUAAAGGAAGAAACUUGAAUGGCUUUAUACAUUACUAAUUUAAAAUAUGUGAGUUUAAACAUGUAAUAUCCUUCACUUUAAAAAUAAGUACACUAGUUUAGGCAUUUUAUUGAUAGAUUUCUCACCGCUUCAAGUCUUAUACAUUACUAAUUUAAUUUUUGUGUUAUGAAAUUAUAUAAUAUAUAAUUAGGUUUAUUGGUGAAAAAAGCUUUCAACAAAAAAAUUCAAAAAAUCAAUUAAACUCUCAAGAAAAACUACACCCCAAAUGAAUCUUUGUAGUUGAAAAAAUAAUUAAUGAAGCCCUUAAUAUUGAGCACAUUCUUGCUGAUGUCGCUAAUGGUCCAAUCAAAUAGUAACAUAUGGCAUGUCAUGUAGAUCUGGCAUAGCAUUUUAUCAUGUCAACAAAAAAUUAAAACAUUAAAAUCCUUAAAAAACAAAUAAAUUUAAAAAAUAUAUUUAAAUGAACCUAGACAAAACGUUGACAAGGUUCAUUUGAAUCUAAACAACUUGUUUCGGUGAAACUUGGAUGUGGUUCUUUAGAUAAUCACUAAAAAAUUACAAAAAGAAUUAUGAAUAAUUAUAUGAAGCUACAAAAAAUUAUUAAAAAUUAAUAAAAUAAUUUAAAACGAUAAAAAAUCACAUUUAAAAUGAAUUUGGGCAAAUGGUUGUUCAAGUUCAUUUGAAUUUAGAGAACCGCUUAUCCAAGUUUAUUUUAGACCUAGUUUCUUUAGAUAAUUACGAAAAAUUACAAAAAAAAUAUAAAUUAUGAAAAAUUAAGUAAUUAAAUAUAUUUUUAUAUUUAAAAUUGUUAGAAUUCUUAAAUUUAUUAAAAAUUAAAUGAUUACUAAAAGUUUCAAAAUUUUAAAGAAUUAUUAAAAAUUAAUCAUAUAUGUAAUAUAUUAUUUAAAUAUUUCUCUCAUGUCAUAGAUGCCAUAUAAUUUAAUAUGUAUAAUAAAUUUUUACAUUUAAAUAUUUGAUAUCUAUUUACGUAUUUGUAACAAAUUAUAUCACAUUAUCUUAUUAAAUUCUUUUAAGAAUAAAUAAUAAAUAUCAAUAAAUUUUUUUAAAUAAUAAAUCAUUAUUUAUUUAAUUAAAAAUAUAAAUUAAAUACUAUCUUAAAUUUUUAUAAUUAUUAAUAAUUUUCCAUUAUUUUUUAAAAAUUAGUAAUUAUCUAAACAACCAUGUCUAACAAGUGAUUGUCCAAAAAAAAGACUUUUCGACGAGUUAUUUUAAAUAAUUUUUUAAAAAUAUUUAUUUUUAAUGAUUUUUAAAAGUUUUUGUCUUUGUGACAAAAUGUCACAUUGACAUAUUGUCCACGUGGCAUAUCACGUGUCACUAUUUACUUAGACCAUUUGUCACAUCAAUAGAAAUAUCACAAUCAAUAGUGGUCAAUGUUAGUUAAGGGUAUUCAAUUGGGAGCCAUUUUCUCAUGAGGGCUUAAUUGAUUUUUGAGUACGUAUGUUUUAGGCACUCAACUUCAAAAAGUUACAAAAUAUUUACUAAACUAUUUAAAAAUAUUCAUUUAUGUCAUCAAAUUAUUUGAAAGUUUUUAUUUAAAUCACUAGGCUAUUAAGUUUUUUUUUAAGCCAACUAGCGAGCUUCAAGCAACAAUUUGACGACUCGUGCAUUAGACCAAUACCUAUCAACGAGUAGAAUAACUUACCUUAGAUCCAAAUCGAUUUGACGAUCAUUGUCGGAGAUUGAAGGAGAAAGCGGUUUGGAUUUUGAUUUGCAAAUUUAUGACAUUUAAAGUUGUUUCACGAAAAAAUGCACUAUAUAAGAAAAAGGGGAAGAAGAGCUUUCGAUUUCAAUCGGUGUAGGUGGUGCAAACAUAGAAGGCCAUACAACAACGAUUUUAACAUCCCGAUAACUUAAACGUAAACUAACUAAUAGUUUAGUGACAUUAAGUAUAGUUUACCCUUGAUUUUUUUUGUUGAGGACCUUUGUUACCAUUAAGUCAUAUAAUAUAAUAUAAUAUAAUAUAUUACAAACUUAAAAAUAGAUCGAGUCAGGCUCAGACUUAGGCUUUGAAUGCUGAAGCCUGAGCCUGACCCAUAUCUUCAACGAACUUAAUAUUUUGCCCAAGCCUCUUUUUGGAGUUUUUUUCAAACCCUUUUAAAUUUCAGGUAAACCUUCAGUCUUAAAUGGAUAAUCCAAUCCUUGAACAGGUAACAUACAAAAGCCUUGGACUCAUUGAGUAAAUGAAAAAUUUUCUUUUUAAACCCCCUAAAAAAUUAAAACUAUCAAUUUAAACUUUUUUAACCAUUAAUUAUGUGGAAAUUUUACAAUUUUGAUUUUUGGAAAAUUAACAAUUCAAUUUAAACAUUUUAACCCAAAAUUUUAAUUUUGUUUCUCCCCUAAAAUUUUAUAGUUUUAUCUUUGCUGCCUAAAAUGUAACACCCUCAACUCGUAUCCUUCGUCGAAACCGGGUUAUAGAGCAUUACCGGAGUUUACAGAUCAAACAAACAAAAAAUUCAAACAUUUCAUAUCAUCAAAACAAGUUAUCAAAGCAUCAUUUUAAUCUAAAUUAUAAACAUACCAAAUCCAAAUCAAUUUACCUAGUUCAUGAGCACUUAAACAUAGAAUUAAAUUCACAUGCACAUAUCUAGAUUUAGUUCAAUUUAUCAUGCCAUAAUAUGGCUUCGAAAAUAAACACAUAUUUAUAUGUAUAAGACUAACCAAAAUUAAACUUAUAACCUCAUUUACAAUCAAACCACAAAAUAACUAUUAUUUAGACACCCUAGGUACAUGCCGGCACAAAAGUAUAAACAUCACCACAUUUGAGUUCAGGAUCGUUGUUGGAUACUGAAUCGGCGAUCAAACGUUAAGUACCUAACCUGCGCAGGGGAAACAAAACCGUACGCUGAAUAUAAACUCAGUGGUAUUUCUAUAAUCCAAAUAUUUAAAGAUAAGAAAUUACAAAUAUACAAUUGAAAUAUAAACACAUAUUAAUAUUUAAUUAUUACAACAACCAUAUCAUAUUUCAUUUGUUUCGCAAAUAUCUCAAUUCUCAUACUUGCUAUAUAAAUAGCUUUUCACAAUUUAUUUCAUGUUUCAUUAUACAAUUGCAAUAUCCAUUCCAUAGUCAUUUCAUGAGUAUAUAACUCAUAUAUUCCAUAUAUUUGCAACAUAUUUCACAUUCUAUUUUCAAUUCACUAUUUCACUUCCAUUUCUCAUACCAUACCAUUUCAAUAUCAAUUAUAAAAUUUUAUUAUUCAUUUACCCCUAUUAACACGACUCGGACUUGGACGGAUACACGGAUCCAAUCAAAACACACCAGUUUGGCACCCAGUGCCUCAUUGGAUAAUUCGAAGUAAUAAUUUAACACCCAGUGUCUCAUCGGUUAAAACGAAGUGAAUUGGCACCCAGUGCCUCAUCGAAUUAAUCCGAAGUAGUAAAUUGACACCCAGUGUCUCAUCGACUCAAAGUCGAAGAAAUCUCUGAACUCUUCCAAUAUUAUGGCAUGCCAUUUAUAUCCGACUCAGCCUGAUACAGUUAAUAGAGUUUCAAUUCACUUUUCAAAUACAACCAAUAUUCAUUUCAAUUCAAAUAAUCAAUAUAAUCAAUAUAUAUAUACCAAUUCAAUCAAUAUAAAUUCAAUAAAUUCAUCACAUACUAAAAUCAAUCCAUUUCAAUUGCAAAACACAAUAAUUCUCACCUCAACACUUACCAUAUACAUUAAAUUAAAUUAUAACAAUUAACAACUAAAUUCGGAUUAUAGAAAUGCAAACCAAAAAUUUCGAGCUAUUCCUCGUCGACUUUAUCUUUCCCCUUUUUAGUCGAGGAUUCUGGUACGACGUUAGCUACGGAAUUAAAACAAUUAAAAAAAAUCAUCAAUACAACACAAUUCAAUCUCAUAAUUAAUAAUUCAAUUUUUAUUCAACAUUUUUCUAAAUUCCAAUUUAGUCCCUAAACCGAGACUAAUUUUAUUUCUUCACAAUCAAUUUUAUAUUUUCAUUCAAUUUUCACUUUAAACUAAAUUUAACUCCCUAAUUUCACUUAAAUCUCUAAUUUCAAUUUUUUCACAACUUAGUUCCUAUUACACAAAAUUUACAAUUUAUUCUACAAUUCAAUCCUUUUUCAUUUCUAACUUAAAAAUCUAUCAAUUUAAUCCCUAAUACUAAAAUUAUUCAACAUAAAAAAUACUUAAAAACUCAAUAAUUUCUAAAAUUUUGACAUGGGUCGGGUAGUAUUUAACACUAAGAUUCCAAAAAUAUAAAAUUACAAGAAAAAGAGACUAAAUUGACUAACCAAUUAAACUUAGAACUUUGAAACCCUAGUUUCUCCUUUCUCGAUCUCCUUCUUUCUCUUUUUCCGUGUGUUUCGUUUCUAUCUUUGUUCUUUUUUCUUUCAUUUAUUUGUUUUAUUAUAAUAUAAUAUAAUAUAAUAUAUACUUAAUUCUUAAGGUAAUAUAUUAUAAUAUAUAUUUUAACUUAAAAUUUAGGAUAUUUCAUCCUUAUGCCGCCUCAUCUAAAGAAAAUGGCAUAAUUUCUUCUUUAGUCCUUUCAAUUUUUUAAUUUAUAAUUUAACUUUCACUCUUUAUGCAAUUUAGUCCUUUUACUUAAUCACUCUUAAUUCAUGCAAAUUCAUGUAACUAAAACCUAAUUAACCAUACAACUAACUUCGUAAAUAUUUCUAAUAAAUAUUUAUGAGUCUAAUUUAAAAAAAAAGAAUCUCGAAAGUACAUUUUUUGACACCCGUAAUUAUCAGAUUGUUAUAUAAAAAAAUUCAUUUUUUUUCUUAUAAAAUGACAAUAGAAAAGUUACAUAUAUUAAAAUUCAAACUUCAAAUCUAUUAGAUAGAAUUGAAUUAAAUUUUAAAUUUUUAUUGGGUAUGUUGUAUUAUGUAGGUGAAGAAAAAUGAAAAUGUAGUAUGUGAUGUCACACAAAAUCCACCACAUGACAAAUGAUGUUGUGGCUAUCUUCCCACCGCCCUAAACUCAAUUUUUGGAAGCUCUUACAUUAAUUAUUCAUACACUCCUUUAUAUUCCAUUUAUCAUCCUUUUCUUCCUUCUCCAUUUUUAUUUUUAUUUUUUCAUUUAUUCUAUUAUUAAAUUAUUUGAUUAAUUAAUCCAUGUUCUACAAUACCACGUGAAUUCGUUCCCCCAAAAAAAAACACGAUACCACGUGAAUUGAGUGUUGAAUUUCUUUUUAAAAAAUUUACGGUAAAAUCAAAAUACAAAUAUAUGUACAUAUUUAAAUAAUUAUAAAUUAUAAAAUCAAUUUAUUACGUUAUAAAAGGAUUAAAACAAAAUAAAAUGUAAAAGUUAAAUAAUUAUAACAUAAUUUAGGCUAAAACUAAUUGAAAUUUCAAGCUUGGGUACUUGGUAAAUCUCAAUUUUGAGUAUCUUCACCUUUAACAAUUGUAUCAGAGCUCCGUUGGUUAAUACGAGAGGGAAUCACAAGUUUAGAAUAUCUAUUUUUUAUUGUGAAAUUGAAAAAAAAAAUGAUAUUUCUUGAAAUUAAAAGUUAAAACAACUGAUUGUAUAUUUUGUUUUCUUUAGAAUAUGAAAUUAGACCGAGGCAUAAGUAUAAUACAAAUUCAAGGAAUUAAAUGAUUACAUUAUUAUGUUUUAAUUAUGAGGUGUAGUGUAGUGAUUGUUCAUCUCAUCCCUUAACCAUAAGAUUGGAGGUUUGAUCUUGUCCAUGGGAAUGGAUCACAUUUCAUGAUCAGCUGUUUACUUUUUUUAAAAAGCAUCUACGACGAGAGGAUUAGUCAUUACCAUUGAAGAUAGACACUCGAGUAAAAAAAAACUUUUUCAUCAUUAUCACUCACAUAGGCAAAGUUAGAAAUUCAACUUCUCAAAUAUAAUUUAAUUAUACUUUUUUGUGAAUUAAAAUAUAAUUUAAUGAUUAUAUUAAAGGUGAAUUACAUCCAAGGUCGCUAAAUUAUUAAUAAGUUUACGUUUUAGUCACUUAACUUCAAAAAGUUAUAAAAAUUUCAUUUAAGUUACUAAACUAUUUGAAAGUUUUUAUUUAAGUCACUAGGCUGUUAAGUUUUUUUUUUUUUAAAACUCUGGCUAGCGAGCUCCACACGAUAAUUCGAUAAUUGGGACGACGGAUCAAUACCUAUCAAGGAGUAGAAAAAACAUACAUUGGAUUCAAGUCAAUUUGAUGGUCAAUGUCAAAGAUCAGAAAAUAAAUUUAUUUAAAUUUUAGUUUGUAAAUUCGUGACGUUCAAAGUUGUUUUAUGAAAAUAAAUUGCGAACAGAGAAUGUUAUAACAAUAGCGCUUUUAACAAUAUAGUAACUUAAAUGAAAACUUCUAAAUAUUUCAAUGAUUAUUUUGUAACUUUUUAACGUUGAGUUACCAAGACAUAUUUAUAAACCAAUACAUGUUACACUUAAUAAUAUGUUAAUUUUAUAAUCAAAGAAACUGUUUAAUAUAAAAAAUAAAUAAUUUUAGACUUUUAUUCCAUAUAAAAUAUAAUACAAAUACACAGACCACACUACAAAAAUUCAAUCUCGUGAAUAUCUAGCUGUUUGUUCGUAUCUGUGAUCCUAUGCUAAUUAUAUUAAAGAUAAAUAAUAUUUACAUUAUAUCAUGUAAACACUGUUUUAUUUUACAAGCAAUCUUAUGUUAAAAUUAUUUUAAUUUUAAUGAUAAGUGAAUGACCUAAGGAAAGGAUAUAAAGUUGGACUGUUAGGCAAGUGGAACUCAGCCACACUUUAAAAUAAAAUAAAUGGAAGAAAGAAGUUGACUUCUUUUUUUUCCCCCAAAUUCUUCAUUUAUUGAUUAAAUAAUUAAUAUAUGAUAAAAAUAUAUAUAUAAAUGUAAAACACUUUUAACACAUGAAAAAAAUUGAAUAUACAAAUUAUAAGGUUUAGAAUUGUGAAUCAAAUUAUUUUAAUAAUAAGUUCUUUAUAAAAUUUAGUGUCCGAGACAAUUAAAUAUUAUUUAUAUUAUUUUUGUAAAUACACGAAUAAUACAUUAAAAAAUAAAAUAAACAAGAUUCUUCACUUGCUUGUUAGGUAUAUAAAGUAGGGAACUCACAUGCUUCCCUUUGCCAUCAUCGAAAUUAUUUUUCUCUUUUGUCAUCAUUGUGAGUUUGUUGAAAGCAUUAAAAAUGGAAGAGAACAAAUUUGUUGUUAGUUUGAUGAUCAUUUUUCUGGGUUUUUCUUUUCUCCUCAAUUCUUCUGCUGCUGUUCCUGUAACAAGUAAGGCUAAUAUUUUAAUUUUGUAGCUUUUAAUUCUGAUUUGUUUAUUGAUAUUUAAAUUGAUUUGGUUUUUUUAUAGGAUGCUUCCUCCCUUCUUCUCCUUGUGUUCAAGAUGUAGUUGUUCAGGUAUUUUGAAAGCCCUAAUUGAUAUUCUUACAGGGUUUUUAUCCUUUUACAUUAUGGUUUAUAUAUGGAAUAACAUGGUUAAGGUUUUGGUUUGCUGUGUUUUUUUGGGGCAGGAUGUAAUGAAAUUGAGUGGAAGUGAGGAAGUAAUAGAGGAAGGGGAAGCAUUAAAUAAUGAAAGGAUGUUAUUGGCAAGCACAGAUUAUUCAGGACCUGGUGCAAACAAGAACCAUGAUCCUAAAACUCCAGGAACAGGUUAAAAAAACAUAGCAUCUAUCUAUCUAUAUAGAAUGAGGGAAAUUUCAGAGUUCGGAUCUGGGUUUGGUUUACGACAAGUUCUUCUUUUGGUUGUCUCUCUUUGUAUCCAUAAUUAUGUUUUAAACUUGUUUUUUUAUUGUAAUUGUGUGCGUUUAAAGAAUGUCUGUACUAUAAUCUAACAUGAUUAAUUUGGAAACUGUGGGUUCAUGUUGUAAAUUAAGAAUAUUAUGGAUUCACGGUGCUUAUUAUAAAUUGAACUCAAAGUUGUCAUUAGAUCAAGAAAUUUUGUUAAUUUUUUUAUAUAAAAAAUAUAUUAAUGGAAGUUAAUGUGUGCUGAAGUAUGUAAUAAAGUGAAUGUUCCUAAAGUGAUCCUUUUCUUGCCUUUACUAAGUUAUGCCUUAAAAAAAUGAUUGAGCCAAACAAGUUAAUAGUGUGGCAUUAUACAAAAACCAAAAGGAAAUUAGAAAAGAAAAACCAUAAGACAUUAAGAAAUGAGAUGGUAAGCAUGUGAGAGCAUCACUUCCCAAUUAUACAACUAUUUUAAGAUGGUCAUGCAGAGAUGUAGGCCAAUCACACUUUAAUGAAAUGUCAACUAUAACCAAGCACGACCAAAAACACCGACAACACUCUUUCUAAAACAGCCUACCAAUCUAUACCUUCAAUCAAGACUCUCCCUCCAUUGUACGGUUUUGAAACAAGAAAAGAAAAACAAAUUCCUCAUGUAACACCUCUAACCCACAUCUUCCACCGGAAUAGGGUUUCGGAGCAUUACCGAUCAAACAAAUAUGAUUUUAAAACAUUUCAUAUCAUAUAAUAUUUAAGUCAAAAUCAAUCAAACUCAUACAUAUUGUCCCUUAUUCGAGCCAUCCAGGCCCAAAAUACGUACUAGAAACAAGUCAAGACUAAUUCGGAAACUCAGAGAAUUUUUCGCGAAAUAUUAAAAAUUUUCAAAGCUGCAGGGUUCACACGACCAAACACAUCCAAAUCAUAUCAAAACAUACAUCCUAGGUGUCUAACCAAUGUACCCUCAUUGGUACCAAAAUUAUAUCAUCAAAGUAUCAAUCAAGUCUAAUUUGUAAACAUGCCAAAUUCAAUCUAUAUUUUUGCCUAUUUCAUGUUCAUUUAAACAUUAACUUAAACAUGCCAUAAUAUGACCUCAAACAUAACUACAUAUUUAUAUGUAUAUAACCAACCAAUAUUAACUUAUAACCUUAUUACAAUCAAUCAACAAAAUGAUUAAUAGUUAGACACCCUAGGUACAUGCCGACACAAAAACAUAAACAUCACGACAUUUGAGAUCGGGAUAUCGUUGUUGGAUGCUGGAUCGACGAUCAAAAUUAAGUACCUAACCUGCGCAGGGAAAACAAACCGUACGUUGAGUAAAACUCAGUAGUAUUUCUAUAAUCCGAAUAUUUAAAGAUAAGUAAUUACAAAUAUACAAUUGAAAUAUAAACACGUAUUAAUAUUUAAUUAUUACAACAAUCAUAUCAUAUUUCAUUUGUUUCACAAAUAUCUCAAUUCUCAUACUUGCUAUAUAAAUAACUUUUCACAAUUUAUUUCACAUUUCUUUAUGAAAUUGCAUUAUCCUUUCCAUAUUCAUUUCAUGAGUAUAUAACUCAUAUACUCCAUAUAUUUGCAACAUAUUUCACAUUCUAUUUCCAAUUCACUAUUUCACUUCUAUUUCUCAUACAAUGCCAUUUCAAUAUCAAUCAUAAAUUUUUAUUAUUCAUUUACCCCUAUUAACAUGACUCGGACUCGGACAGAUACACGGAUCCAACCAAAACACACCAGUUUGGCACCCAGUGCCUCAUCGGAUACUUCGAAGUAAUAAUUUGACACCCAGUGUCUCACCGGUAAAAACAAAGUGAAUUGGCACCCCGUGCCUCAUCGAAUUAAUCCGAAGUAGUAAAUUGACACCCAAUGUCUCAUCGACUCAAAGUCGAAGAAAUCCCUGAACUCUUCUAAUCCUAUGGCAUACCAUCUAUAUCCGACUCAGCCCGAUAUAGUUAAUAGGGUAUCAAUUCACUUUUCAAAUACAACCAAUAUUCAAUUCAAUUCAAAUAAUCAAUAUAUAAUCAAUAUAUAUACCAAUUCAAUCAAUAUAAAUUCAAUAAAUUUAUCACAUACUAAAUCAAUCCAUUUCAAUUGCAAAACAUAAUAAUUCUCACCUCAACACUUACCAUAUACAUUAAAUUGACUUAUAACAAUUAACAAUUAAAUUCGGAUAAUAGAAAUACAAACUAGAAAUUCUGAGCUAUUCCUCGUCGACUUUAUCUUUUCCCUUUUUAGUCGAGGGUUCCUGUACGACGUUAGCUACGUAAUUAAAACAAUUAAAAAUCAUCAAUACAACACAAUUCAAUUUCAUGUUUAAUAUUUCAAUUUUUACUCAAAUAUUGCCUAAUUUCCAAUUUAGUCCCUAAACCGAGAUUAAUUUUUAUUCUUCACAUUUAAUUCUUUAUUUUUAUGCAAAUUCCACUUUAGACUAAAUUCAACUCCCUAUUUUCACAUAAAUUCCUAAAUUUCAAAAAUUUCACAAUUUAGUCCCUAUUACUCAAAAUUUACUAUUUGUUCUACAAUUUAAUCCUUUUUCAUUUCUAGCUUAAAAAUCUAUCAAUUUAAUCCCUAAUACUAAAAUUAUUCAACAUAGACAACACUUAAAACUCAAUAAUUUCUAAAAUUUUGACAUGGGUCGAGUAGUACUUAACACCGAAAUUCCAAAAAUAUAAAAAUUACAAGAAAAAGGGACUAAAUUGACUAACCAAUUAAACUUGGAACUUUGAAACCCUAAGGGUGGGUUUGGAUAGGCGAUUGGGUGUGGUGCGGUGCGGUGCAUUUAGUUUACUUUUUGUCUCACGCUAUAGUGUCGCUACAGCAUCUAAUCUCACUGCCACCGUUGUUUUUACACUAACCGUAGGUAAACGCACCGCCCAUCCAAACUCACCCUAAGUCUUGUCUUUCUCCUUCCUUCCUUCUUUUCUUUCUUUCCUCUCUGUUUUGUUUCUACCUUUCUUUCUCCUUUUUCUUUAUUUAUUUGUUUUAUUAUACAUUAAUAUAUUAUUAUAAUAUAUAUACUUAAAUGUUAUGUAAAUAUAUUUCAUUAUAAUAUAUAUUAAAUUUUACAUAUAUUUUUACUUAUGUCAUCUCAUUUAAGAAAAAUGGCAUAAUUGCUUCUUUAGUCUCUUUAAUUUUUCUUUAAUCUGUAAUUCAACUUUCACCCAUUAUGCAAAUUAGUCUUUUUACCUAAUUACUCUUAAUUCAUACAAAUUCACCUAACCAAAACCUAAUUAACUACAUAACUAGCUUCGUAAAUAUUUUUAAUAAAUAUUUACGAGUCCAAUUUACGGUUACGGAGUCUCAAAAAUGCACUGUCCGACACCUGUAAUUAUCGGGUCAUUACACCUCAUCCCUCAAGCUUACUCUCCUAGGAUAAUUCAAUAAUCUAAGUUUCAUCUCUCCAAUAUUGGAAUUCAACAAAUUCCUCAUUCGUACGCUUUCUUCCUUUUUCAUUCCUCAAUGGUAGAAUAUUGGUACUAGAACUCAUUAUCGGGGGUCCAUCCGAAAAGUGAAAGGGUUUGAGCAAAAGUAUAAACCCAAAGAAUGAGUUGGGACAAAAAGUAAUACUUGUUUUCUAAAUGAGUCAAGUCUUGGGUAGGAAUUGUCGAAACUAUUUUUUUGAAAACAAAAAUUUUAGUUGUCGACUUUAAAAAACUGGAGUCGUCACCGAUUCUUUAUUAAGGUGUGAUCGGCUCAUCUUAAAAUGAUUUUGGUCUAUGAAAUUUGAGAAAAUGAGUCCGGGAGUCAGUUACGCACGAGGAAGGAUUAGCACCCUCGUAACGGCCAAAAUCGGUACCAAAUUGAUUCUUUAAUGUCUUGGUGUCGAAAAUUUGAAAAGAUUUUAAAAGGAAACUUUUUAUCUCAUGAAUGAAUCAAAAUAAUAAGACACUCUUAUUUCAAAGAAAUAAAACACCACACCCAGUGAGUUACGGCACAAUAUUUUUAAAUCUUCAAAAUACCCGAAUAUUGCCUUUUGCUUUUGAAAAUUCUUAUUUCGAGAAGUCAAAAUAUCAGGACCAGUAAGUUAGGACCCAACAUUUUUGAAUCCCCGAGAAUAAGCUUUAUUUGAAAUCUGUGAAUUUAUUGCAAAACAAAUAAUGAGCUCUCUAAAUUCAUCAAAAAAUAAUCGCAAUCCAGUAAGUUAGGAUACGAUUAUUUUCUCGAGAAUCAUGAAUGCCAAAUAUUUUGGAAAUUUAUAAAAUAUGAUGAUUUUAAUGCUUAGACAAGACCAAAAUAUAUUUUCUUUAAAAAGUAUAGUAAAAAUACUAAUGUACCACAUGAAACCAAUACUUUAAUUUAAAUUAUAUGUAUAUAUAUUUUGAAAAUCGUUAAAAUAAAAUAAAAGUAUAAAUGUAUGUAUUUACAAAAUAAAAGAAAUGUAUAAGUAUAUAUAAAUAUAUAAAAUAUAAUGUAUAUAAAAGUUAAAAAAAGAUAAAAUAAUAAAAAAGAAUAUAUAUAAAAACGUAUGUAUAUCUAUAGGCAUAUAUAUAUGAAUGUAGAAAUUAUGAAAAUAAAGUAAUAUAUAAAAAAGAAGCAUGCGUAUAUGUAUGUAUUUUACAAAAAAACGUUUUUAAAAUUGAAAGACACAAAAUAUAUAUGUUUUGUAAAAACUGUAAAUAUUUAUAAAAAAAGAUUUUGUGUGAAAAUUAAAAGUACAAAGAAAAUAUAUAUGUAUACUAUAAAAUAAUAUAAGGAUAUAAAAAAACAAGUGCGAAUUGAAUGAAUAUAUUAAUAACGUGGUAAUAAGAGUAAUAAUGAUAAAAAAAAUGAAAUGGAUUAAUAAAAACAAAAAAGGAUCAUAUUGUAAUUGAGAUAGAAUCAGCGGGUACGGAUGAGAUUAAAAGUAAAAUGGGGACGAGAUUGCAACAAGAGAAUGACAUGGGAGACCAUUUUAGCAAUAAUCCGCCCUCCAAAACGCUGUGCAUUGACACGGGCUGAAAUGAACAAAAGUAGAAAUAUUUGGGCCAAAUGUUUAAAAAAACAAUUGGCUUGAUAAAAACAUGACGCAAAAGAGGGAGGGCUAGCUACGAAAUUUCCCUAUUUAUAGUAGAAACGCGCGAACCCUUCACCCAUCAUACGGCGCCGUUUCAUCUCAAAUGUAAAGUCAACAUUUUCUAAAAAACAAACCAUUCUCUGCCAUUUUUUACAACAAAACAAAAACCUUAUAAACCCUAGCCUCUGCCAGGCCUUCAACUCAGCCACCGCCGCUGCCAUUCAAGGCCGAUUUAUGUCCUCAGUCAUCCCAGUCUCCGAUCGCGACGGAGAUGGGAUGAAACGCGACGAAGCUAGGUAAGUUUCUUUUCUUCUCUUUGUAUUAUUAUUUUACAAAAUUAAAAAAAAAUCAAAAGAAUAUAUGAGAAAAAUAAAAAAAAAAAUGAAAACACGAUUCACCUUCAAGUUUUUCUUUGUAUUUCAAUCUUUUCCCUCUAUUUUCUUAUAUAUUUUACACUUAAAAAAAAAUCCCCCCCAGCAUUACAGAUUUCCAAAGGCUUUUAUAGCCCGCAAAGUCGAAAAGAAAAAAACAAAUAAAAUCUGCUAAUUGUUAUUUUUUGCUGUUUUAUCUCAAUCGGACUCUUUGAGUCCACGAUUGCAGGAGUUCGUGGAGUGCACGGCGCGGGGAAAAAGGGUGGUUCUGCAACAUGCGCUGAUCGGAUCUGCUGGAGGCUGCUGGAGCGCGUCGUGGGGCUGUUGCGGCGCUCAACUGCCAUCUGCUUAGGGCUAGAGUUUUUCUAAAUUUUUUAGUUUUGGGCCAUUUAUUUGUUUUGCUUGGAUCCAGGCCAAUUGAGCCUUAUUACAGGAUUUUUUUGGCCCCAACCUGUCUCGAAUCAGCCUAAACUUUCAAAUUUGUUGUUGUUUACUUCCGUUUUUGUUGAUAUUUUGCUAUUAUAUUACUAUUAUUUUAUUGUUAUUAUUUGAAUAUUGUAUAACUCUAUUUUAUUGUUAAUUUUUUAAUAUAUUUUUAAUUUGUUAGGAAACAUUUGUUUGAAUAUUUUUAGUACAUAUGACGUAAAUAAUAUUAAAAAUUUAAUACGGGCGGGCUAGGUUGAGCUCGAAUUUAACAUUUUUAAUUUAGACUAGACUUGGACAAAAUUUUAGGCCUGUUUUAAAGUCGAGCCAGAGCUAAGCUUAGAAAACAAGCUUAAAA